GACAGAGGGUGCAAACGUUGUUCGGAAUUACUGGGCGUAAAGCGUGUGUAGGCGGUCCGCUAAGUCGGGUGUGAAAGCCCUGGGCUCAACCCAGGAAGUGCACUCGAAACUGGCGGGCUAGAGUAUCGGAGAGGUUGGUGGAAUUCUCGGUGUAGAGGUGAAAUUCGUAGAUAUCGAGAGGAACACCAGUGGCGAAGGCGGCCCACUGGUCCGGUACUGACGCUGAGGUGCGAAAGCGUGGGGAGCAAACAGG
rnacentral:rRNA from 1 species